rnacentral:rRNA from 1 species
UACGUAGGGUGCAAGCGUUAAUCGGAAUUACUGGGCGUAAAGCGUGCGCAGGCGGUUGUGCAAGACCGAUGUGAAAUCCCCGGGCUUAACCUGGGAAUGGCAUUGGUGACUGCACGGCUAGAGUGUGUCAGAGGGGGGUAGAAUUCCACGUGUAGCAGUGAAAUGCGUAGAGAUGUGGGAGGAAUACCGAUGGCGAAGGCAGCCCCCCUGGGAUAACACUGACGCUCAUGCACGAAAGCGUAGGGGGAGCAAACAGG